rnacentral:lncRNA from 1 species
CAUCUGGUGAUUUCACAUGGACAGCAAAAGCAAAAUGGUUUUAAGAUGAAGGAGGGAAGAUUUAGGUUGGAUGUCAGGGGGAAGUCCUUUACUAUGGGAGUGGUGAGGUGGUGGAACAGCUGCCCAGAGAGGCUGUGGAUGUCCUCCCCUGGAGGUGUUGAAGGGGCCCUGGGCAGCCUGGUGUGGUAUUAAAUGUGGAGGUUGGUGGCCCUGCCUGUGGCAGGGUGUUGGAGCUUCAUGAUCCUUGAGGUCCCUUCCAACCCAAGCUGCUCUAUGGUUCUAUGAAAUGUAGGGUGGAAGGAACAUAAUGUUCAAGGGUGUUUAUUGCUGGUAUGAGAAGGUGGAACUCUUGCUUUAAUACCUGUUAGUUGUGUUAGUGUUAUGGGAGGAGCACAAGUACAAACUACAGGAUUAUUCUUUUCAAAGUAAGCUCAGCUGUUUCAUUCAUGUUUUUAAGUGGGUCAGUGAAGGCACGGAUGUUUGAUCAGAGGUGAUGGAUGAGUGACACAGGAACACACUCUGCAGCCUUGUUUUCCAAAGCAGUGCCAGAUGUGAAUCAGAGGAAUUGACCCCAGAGAUACAGUUCCUGGGGUGCUGUGUUGCUGCUGUGCCAUGAAGAAGGAAGAGAUUCACAAAGGAGUGUUUCUGAGACGCCGUGGCUGCACUGUACAAACCCAUGCGCUGGAGCUGCAGCCACGUCAUCAUCUGCUCUCCUCUGCCGGUGCUCUGAAGUCCAACACCGAUAGUUUCAGAGGACCACAGCAGGGAACACCUCCCUCCAGAAGUCCAAUGGAAGCCUAUUCCGUGUGAACUUACUGAGCUGUGUGCCUGGGGAGCGGCAGAAGAUACCCACAUUCAUUGACUUCCUGCCAGCGGUGUCCUUCAGUGUCGAUUCACACACUGUGCUUUGGGCUGCCUAUGGCACUGCCAGGCGCUGUGCAGGGGCUGCCCGGUGCUGAAGGGACAGCUGUUGGUUUUCUUCCCUGCCGUCUGUUGGGGUAUAUCGGGAUU